GCAGUCGAACGCUUCAGCAAUGAAGAGUGGCAGACGGGUGAGUAACGCGUGGGAACCUUCCCAGUGGUACGGAAUAGCCCAGGGAAACUUGGGGUAAUACCGUAUAAGCCCUUAGGGGGAAAGAUUUAUCGCCAUUGGAUGGGCCCGCGUCGGAUUAGCUUGUUGGUGAGGUAAAAGCUCACCAAGGCGACGAUCCGUAGCUGGUCUGAGAGGAUGAUCAGCCACACUGGGACUGAGACACGGCCCAGACUCCUACGGGAGGCAGCAGUGGGGAAUAUUGGACAAUGGGCGCAAGCCUGAUCCAGCCAUGCCGCGUGAGUGACGAAGGCCUUAGGGUUGUAAAGCUCUUUUGGCGGGGACGAUAAUGACGGUACCCGCAGAAUAAGCUCCGGCUAACUUCGUGCCAGCAGCCGCGGUAAUACGAAGGGAGCUAGCGUUGUUCGGAAUUACUGGGCGUAAAGCGCACGUAGGCGGACUUGUUAGUCAGGGGUGAAAUCCCGGGGCCCAACCUCGGAACUGCCUUUGAUACUGCAAGUCUGGAGUCCGGAAGAGGUGGGUGGAAUUCCUAGUGUAGAGGUGAAAUUCGUAGAUAUUAGGAAGAACACCGGUGGCGAAGGCGGCCCACUGGUCCGGUACUGACGCUGAGGU
rnacentral:rRNA from 1 species